AUUAAACGCUGGCGGCAUGCCUUACACAUGCAAGUCGAACGGCAGCACGGGGGCAACCUUGGUGGCGAGUGGCGAACGGGUGAGUAAAGCAUCGGAACGUGCCCUGGAGUGGGGGGAUAACGUAGCGAAAGUUACGCUAAUACCGCAUAUUCUGUGAGCAGGAAAGCAGGGGAUCGCAAGACCUUGCGCUCUGAGAGCGGCCGAUGUCGGAUUAGCUAGUUGGUGGGGUAAAGGCCUACCAAGGCGACGAUCCGUAGCGGGUCUGAGAGGAUGAUCCGCCACACUGGGACUGAGACACGGCCCAGACUCCUACGGGAGGCAGCAGUGGGGAAUUUUGGACAAUGGGCGAAAGCCUGAUCCAGCCAUGCCGCGUGAGUGAAGAAGGCCUCGG
rnacentral:rRNA from 1 species